GCCCAUGUGGCUUAGUCAGUUGAGCAUCUGACUCUUGGUUUCAGCCUGGGUCAUGAUCUUAGACUGUGGGAUCAAGCCCUGCCUUGGGCU
rnacentral:tRNA from 1 species